rnacentral:rRNA from 1 species
UACGAAGGGGGCUAGCGUUGUUCGGAAUUACUGGGCGUAAAGCGCACGUAGGCGGAUAUUUAAGUCAGGGGUGAAAUCCCAGAGCUCAACUCUGGAACUGCCUUUGAUACUGGGUAUCUGGAGUAUGGAAGAGGUGAGUGGAAUUCCGAGUGUAGAGGUGAAAUUCGUAGAUAUUGGGAAGAACACCGGUGGCGAAGGCGGCGCUCUGGACCGAGACUGACGCUGAGGCGCGAAAGCGUGGGGAGCAAACAGG